AGUGUACUUGGGGGAGAAGAAAUACCGCAAUGUGGAGGAAAAAUAUUGGUUAUUUAAAGUAACCGGCGUCAGGACGGGGCAAGGAGCGCCCCACACGUGAGGCGGAUGACGUCAUCCGGACCCGCCGGACCUGAGGGGACGGAGCAGAUUGAUCUGUGAAGGUAUAAAAGGAAUUGAGCGAGUUUUGGGAAGAUGACCUACUCUCUUCCAGAAGUCCAUGGGAACUUCCCAAAAUUUGUGAGUCGGAAUAGGUACCCUAAUGGAUUCUACUGGAAAAGAGGGCGUGAAUGGCGGCGUGGGAUGUAGGAAGAAUCUGUGUUAAUUCUUGUUGACCUAUCACAUAAUGUGUAUGUAUCCAAUAAAAAAAAGAAAUUUCCUUUUUUUACUAUUUGCGGAUCGUAGCCAUUCUUUGUAAAUUGCUCGUUUAAUAUUUCUUUGACAAUAACAGUAAACUAUCUUGGAAAAAUUCCUUGUUUUCCUAUAACACUUGCAGUUUGGAAACGCAGAAAGCCAGUUGCAAUAAUAGUUACUAUUAUAAUGAAUAAAUGAACUGCAGUCGGUUGGCUUGAUGUAAUUUGCUGUGAGCAUCACAUUA